GAUCAUUAUUGAAUGAACUUGGUGUGGUUGUUGCUGGCCCUCUCGGGGGCAUGUGCACACCCACCAUCCUCAUCUCUCCACCUGUGCACCUCUUGUAGACUUGGACUUGACUUUCCGAGGCAACUCGGUCGGGAGGACUGCUGGCAUCCAGCCGGCUGUCCUUGCAUUUCCAAGCCUAUGUUUUUCAUAUACCCCAUUGUAUGUAACAGAAUGAAUCAUUAGGCCCUUGUGCCUAUAAAACUUAUACAACUUUCAGCAACGGAUCUCUUGGCUCUCGCAUCGAUGAAGAACGCAGCGAAAUGCGAUAAGUAAUGUGAAUUGCAGAAUUCAGUGAAUCAUCGAAUCUUUGAACGCACCUUGCGCUCCUUGGUAUUCCGAGGAGCAUGCCUGUUUGAGUGUCAUUAAAUUCUCAACCUUUAUCAACUUUUGUUGAUAAUUGGCUUGGAUAUGGGGGUCUAUUUUGCUGGCUUCUUCACAGAUGGUCAACUCCCCUUAAAUGCAUUAGCCGGUGCCCCGCGUGGACUGUCUAUUGGUGUGAUAAUUAUYUACGCCGUGGACAUCUGCAAUUAUAUGGGUUUGCACUGCUUCCAACUGUCUGUUUAUUCGGACAAUACAUGACAAUUUGACCUCAAAUCAGGUAGGACUACCCGCUGAACUUAAGCAUAUCAAUAAGCGGAGGAAAAGAAACUAACAAGGAUUCCCCUAGUAACUGCGAGUGAAGCGGGAAAAGCUCAAAUUUAAA
rnacentral:sRNA from 1 species